GACAGAGGGUGCAAACGUUGUUCGGAAUUACUGGGCGUAAAGCGUGUGUAGGCGGCCACGUAAGUCGGAUGUGAAAGCCCCGGGCUCAACCCGGGAAGUGCACUCGAUACUGCGUGGCUUGAGUACUGGAGAGGUUGGUGGAAUUCUCGGUGUAGAGGUGAAAUUCGUAGAUAUCGAGAGGAACACCGGUGGCGAAGGCGGCCAACUGGACGAAGACUGACGCUGAGACACGAAAGCGUGGGGAGCAAACAGG
rnacentral:rRNA from 1 species